GCGCACCAGAAGUUGACCCAGUUGAUCAACGGCGUGAAACCGAGUGAGGCGGGUCCUCACAGCACUGGCAGCCCUACUUCCCACCCUUUAUUCGCGAAUUUGACAAAUACUGGAAAAGUCGACUGCAAGCCGUUGAGUCUAGCCGUAGCUGGAGUAGUCAGGCCUUGCAUUCAUAAUCAGAUGUCGCCGAAGAAACGCGAACUUUCAGGCGCCAUUUUAAAGCGGAAGGCUCCGAUAGUUAAAGUAGAGAAGAAAGAAAAACAGCAGAAGACGUCGAAGUCAAAAACAUCUUCGAUCGCGAAAGCCAAACUUUCAGGUGCUAUUGUGAAAUACAAGGCUCAACGACAACAGUUUGAAAAUAAAAAUCAAACGCAUCAGGGUGGGGGAGGAAGGACUGGCUCCAAUUAAAUGGUGAAAAUCCGAUUCCGAUCAGGCGAUGACGAAAGUGUGAAUCACGAAAUACCAGUGUGUACUACACAAUUUGUGGAAAAUUCCUGGAAGUGUAUGCGGAAUCUUUAAAAAAAACCAACACCCCGGCACUAAUUAGCGACACUGAUGUGAGCAAGUCACGUGUGUGUUGAGAAGAGUCUAUUUAUAUCACUGAUAAAGUCUUUGAUAAGCUAUCCCACGGGUAUUUUUUUAAUCACAUUUUGGCUCGUCAUACGAGAUAAGCGUUUCAAGUGGAUGACAGGAUUUUUGUCAGAGGUAUUCCUGGAAAUAAAUUGGGAAGAAACCCUUAAACGUGACAUCUUUUAUUAACGAGAAGAUGAAAAUAUACCAUCAAUGCGAUUUGAGGCAAUGUUCGAUCCUGCCAGAUAUUGUACACUUCAUCGAACAUACAACAAUGAUUAGCAAUCUGCCGCCUGCUGUAUAAAAGACGAGGAGCACGCUGAUAUAGUGUUCACGUGCCAUCGUCUUCUGGUUCUUAGAGUUCAUCACUUGGUUUCUGCGCGUCACUGCAGGUGUACAAUUCGUAGCAACGAAAGCAAGGAGACAGACUCAAGAGACAAAUACAAUGGCAUCGAGACUGGUGGACUUCUAUCAUUACACUGACGAAAGCAGUGCACAGGAAAUUCAGAGAACUGGACAUAUUUGGCCCAGUCAAGCAAGCGGACCUGAUGCAGUGCUUGGAACUGGUGUGUAUGGGACAAAGGUGCCACCUCAUGCAGGUAAAGGGCAGAUUGCCCGCAACAACUGGGAUGGCACUGGCAACUGGCACGCCAGGCGAGCUGGAGGAAGUGUGGACUAUGUCUUCCAUCUCCGCAUUCCCCUGAAUAACUUGCGAGAAGUCAAGACGCACAACGGCCGCCAAAUGUAUUUGCACAGGAAUCCAAUAAGACUAGCAGAUUAUGACUACAAUAUUAUUGAAGUUCCAUAGUGAAAAGCGCAACUUUUGCCAGAACUAUGUGGCUUUAACUUAACUUUUCUUAAAACAGCGUCUUGACUCAUCUUUAUACUUGCUAAACCAUUUUUUUGCCUGCAUUCAUGGGAAGAGAAUCCAGUUGUUUUCUUAACUUUUGCUUCAAAGUUUAUUAUAUAGGUUUUUUUAAAAUUGUGUGCAAAUGUUUCAUUUCCUCCCCCCCCCCAAUUGUCUCAUGUGAGACUUUUUUUUUUAAUUUGACGUCUUCGAUCUUUCGUUAGUUGGCAUUUGCUGACCACUUUGGUUAGAAUUUGGUUAAAUUUGAUUAAAUAAAAUUAUUACUUUGA